GACGAACGCUGGCGGCGUGAGUAACACAUGCAAGUCGAACGAAGUGGAGAACGGGGGCGUAAUACGUGGGUAACCUGCCCUCCUUUGUGGGCUAAGCCUUGGAAACGGGGUAUAAUAACGAAUAAAGGGGGAUGGGCGCUCGGCCUAUCAGCUUGUUGGUGGGGUGAUGGCCUACCAAGGCGGUGACGGGUAGCCGGCCUGAGAGGGUGAACGGCCACAUUGGGACGGAGAUAGGGCCCAGACUCCUACGGGAUGCAGCAGUGGGGGAUAUUGCUCAAGGGGGGAAAGCUGGAUGCAGCGACGCCGCGUGGGGGAUGAAGGUUUGCGGGUUGUAAACCUCUUUAGCUACCGAACGGGGAGGUGGCGAAGAAGCGACGGCUAACUACGUGCCAGCAGCCGCGGUAAUAC
rnacentral:rRNA from 1 species